CUACGGGAGGCUCCAGUGAGGAAUAUUGCGCAAUGGGGGAAACUCUGAUGCAGCAACGCCGCGUGGAGGAUGACACUUUUCGGAGCGUAAACUCCUUUUAUAUAGGAAGAAGAUGACGGUACUAUAUGAAUAAGCGCCGGCUAACUCCGUGCCAGCAGCCGCGGUAAUACGGAGGGCGCAAGCGUUACUCGGAAUCACUGGGCGUAAAGAGCGUGUAGGCGGAUUAAAAAGUCAGAAGUGAAAUCCUAUAGCUUAACUAUAGAACUGCUUCUGAAACUCUUAAUCUAGAAUAUGGGAGAGGUAGAUGGAAUUUCUGGUGUAGGGGUAAAAUCCGUAGAGAUCAGAAGGAAUACCGAUUGCGAAGGCGAUCUACUAGAACAUUAUUGACGCUGAGACGCGAAAGCGUGGGGAGCAAACAGGAUUAGAUACCCGUGUAGUC
rnacentral:rRNA from 1 species